UCAAGCUACAAAGAGCUUAAGGUGAAUGCCUUGGCACUGGGAGCCGAAGAAGGACGUGGCAAGCUGCGAAAAGCUGCGGGGAGUUGCAAGCAAACAUUGAUCCGCAGAUGUCCGAAUGGAGCAAUCCACAUAGGGUAACGCCUAUGUAUCAUACAGUGAAUCUAUAGCUGUAUGAGGGGAACCGCCUGAACUGAAACAUCUAAGUAGGGCGAGGAAGAGAAAUCAAACGAGAUUCCGCUAGUAGUGGCGAGCGAACGCGGAAGAGGCCAAACUGAGAGCAGCAAUGUUCUCAGGGUUAGGACUGCAUUUAGCAUUGACAAAGGUUAGCUGAACUGCAUGGGAAGGCAGACUGGAAAGGGUGAGAGUCCCGUAAGCGAAAACUAAAGUCAGCGAGCAGUAUCCAGAGUACCGCAAGACACGUGAAACCUUGUGGGAAGAUGGGGGGACCACCCUCCAAGCCUAAAUACUACCCAGUGACCGAUAGUGCAGAGUACUGUGAAGGAAAGGUGAAAAGGACCCCGGGAGGGGAGUGAAAUAGAACCUGAAACCUUGUGCCUACAAGCACAUAGAGCACAUCAACGUGUGAUAUGGUACUUUUUGUAGAACGGUCCGGCGAGCGAUUGUAUGUUGCGAGCUUAAGGUCUUAAGGACUGGAGGCGCAGCGAGAGCGAGUCUGAAGAGGGCGUUCAGUAACAUGCAAUGGGCCCGAAACCGGGUGACCUACCCAUGAUCAGGCUGAAGUGAAAGUAAAAUUUCAUGGAGGGCCGAACCGACCUCCGUUGAAAAGGCGGCGGAUGAAUUGUGGGUAGCGGAGAAAUUCCAAUCGAACUCGGAGAUAGCUGGUUCUCCCCGAAAUAGCUUUAGGGCUAGCCUCAUAUUAGAUACCCGGAGGUAAAGCACUGAAUGGCCUAGCGCCCGAGAGGGUAGCGAAGCCUAUCAAACUAAGAAUGCCGGAGUAUUGAUGUAUGGGAGUCAGACAGUGUGAGAUAAAUCUCAUUGUCAAAAGGGAAACAGCCCAGAUCUACAGCUAAGGUCCCAAAUUGUAUCUAAGUGGAAAACGAUGUGGAAAUACGCAGACAACCAGGAUGUUGGCUCAGAAGCAGCCACUCAUUUAAAGAGUGCGUAAUAGCUCACUGGUCGAGCGUCUCUGCGCGGAAAAUUUAACGGGGCUAAGAUACAAACCGAAGCUUAGGCUGCACGUAAGUGCGGGGUAGGGGAGCGUUGUGUAAGCGGAGAAACAGUAGCGUAAGCGGCUGUGGAGUUUACAGAAGUGAGAAUGCCGGAAUGAGUAGCGCGAAUGUGGUGAGAAUCCACAUGGCCGGAAACCUCAGGUUUUUGGAGGAAGGUUCGUCCGCUCCAAGUUAGGCGGGAGCUAAGGUCAGGCCGAAAGGCGUAGCCGAUGCACAGACGGUAGAGAUUCCGUCCCCACCGAAAGAUUUAAGCACAGGGACACUUUUUGAAGGUCGGAGCCAGGUGUUGGUUCUGGUAGAGAUCGAGGGAAAUAUAGUACCGAAGUCCGGCUGGAAGAGAGGCGAGAAAAGCUGUGUGUAUAUCUAAGGUGCCCGUACCGCAAACCGACACAGGUAGGUAGGAAGAAGAUUCUAAGGCCAACGGGAGAAGGGUUGUUAAGGAACUCGGCAAAUUGACCCCGUAACUUCGGGAGAAGGGGUGCUCCAGAGAUGGAGCCGCAGAGAAUCGGCCCAAGCAACUGUUUACCAAAAACACAGGUUUGUGCUAAAUCGAAAGAUGACGUAUACGAGCUGACGCCUGCCCGGUGCUGGAAGGUUAAGAGGAGAUGUGCAAGCAUUGAAUCGAAGCCCCAGUGAACGGCGGCCGUAACUAUAACGGUCCUAAGGUAGCGAAAUUCCUUGUCAGGUAAG
rnacentral:rRNA from 1 species